UUCGGCCAUUUGGUAUCUGACACAUAAUCAUUUCUCUGAUUAUGUGUCUCGAAACAUGGCAGAAAGCGAGGGGGGAACGGUCCUUGCGACACUGGUUGCUGCUAUAUGAGCUUCUAGUUACUAUAUACCCGUUUACAUAU
rfam:Oryza punctata chromosome 12, whole genome shotgun sequence.